GAUGAACGCUGACAGAAUGCUUAACACAUGCAAGUCGAUGGGGAAGUGGUGCUUGCACCAUGGUAACCAUGGCGGACGGGUGAGUAACGCGUAAGGAACUUGCCUGCGGGACCGGGAUAACAGCAGGAAACUGCUGACAAGACCGGAUAAGGUCAUUAAGCCGCAUAGCUUAGUGAUGAAAGGAGACGCCUGCGGAGAGCCUUGCGUCCUAUUAGCUAGUUGGAGGGGUAACGGCCCACCAAGGCGAAGAUAGGUAGCCGGCCUGAGAGGGUGGACGGCCACAAGGGGACUGAGAUACGGCCCUUACUCCUACGGGAGGCAGCAGUGGGGAAUAUUGGACAAUGGGGGCAACCCUGAUCCAGCAAUUCUGUGUGCACGAAGACGGUUUUCGGAUUGUAAAGUGCUUUCAGCAGGGAAGAAGUAAGUGACGGUACCUGCAGAAGAAGCGACGGCUAAAUACGUGCCAGCAGCCGCGGUAAUACGUAUGUCGCGAGCGUCAUCCGGAAUUAUUGGGCAUAAAGGGCAUCUAGGCGGCCUUUCAAGUCAGGGGUGAAAACCUGCGGCUCAACCGCAGGCCUGCCUUUGAAACUGAUAGGCUGGAGUACCGGAGAGGUGGACGGAACUGCACGAGUAGAGGUGAAAUUCGUAGAUAUGUGCAGGAAUGCCGAUGAUGAAGAUAGUUCACUGGACGGUAACUGACGCUGAAGUGCGAAAGCCGGGGGAGCGAACAGG
rnacentral:rRNA from 1 species